rnacentral:rRNA from 1 species
GACGAACGCUGGCGGCGUGCCUAAUACAUGCAAGUCGAACGCACUCUCGUUUAGAUUGAAGGAGCUUGCUCCUGAUUGAUAAACAUUUGAGUGAGUGGCGGACGGGUGAGUAACACGUGGGUAACCUGCCCUAAAGUGGGGGAUAACAUUUGGAAACAGAUGCUAAUACCGCAUAAAACCUAACACCGCAUGGUGUAGGGUUGAAAGAUGGUUUCGGCUAUCACUUUAGGAUGGACCCGCGGUGCAUUAGUUAGUUGGUGAGGUAAAGGCUCACCAAGACCGUGAUGCAUAGCCGACCUGAGAGGGUAAUCGGCCACACUGGGACUGAGACACGGCCCAGACUCCUACGGGAGGCAGCAGUAGGGAAUCUUCCACAAUGGACGAAAGUCUGAUGGAGCAACGCCGCGUGAGUGAAGAAGGUUUUCGGAUCGUAAACUCUGUUGUUGGAGAAGAAUGUAUCUGAUAGUAACUGAUCAGGUAGUGACGGUAUCCAACCAGAAAGCCACGGCU